ACGCACGCUGGCGGCGUGCCUCAUCCCUGCCAGUUGAGCGAUGAAGAUUGGCGCUUGCACCAAUUUGAAGAGCAGCGAACGGGUGAGUAACGCGUGGGGAAUCUGCCUUUGAGCGGGGGACAACAUUUGGAAACGAAUGCUAAUACCGCAUAAUAACUUUAAACAUAAGUUUUAAGUUUGAAAGAUGCAAUUGCAUCACUCAAAGAUGAUCCCGCGUUGUAUUAGCUAGUUGGUGAGGUAAAGGCUCACCAAGGCGAUGAUACAUAGCCGACCUGAGAGGGUGAUCGGCCACAUUGGGACUGAGACACGGCCCAAACUCCUACGGGAGGCAGCAGUAGGGAAUCUUCGGCAAUGGACGAAAGUCUGACCGAGCAACGCCGCGUGAGUGAAGAAGGUUUUCGGAUCGUAAAACUCUGUUGGUAGAGAAGAACGUUGGUGAGAGUGGAAAGCUCAUCAAGUGACGGUAACUACCCAGAAAGGGACGGCUAACUACGUG
rnacentral:rRNA from 1 species